UCCUACGGGAGGCAGCAGUGGGGGAUAUUGCACAAUGGGGGGAACCCUGAUGCAGCGACGCCGCGUGGGCGAUGGAGUGCUUCGGCAUGUAAAGCCCUAUCAGCAGGGAAGAAAAUGACGGUACCUGACUAAGAAGCCCCGGCUAAAUACGUGCCAGCAGCCGCGGUAAUACGUAGGGGGCAAGCGUUAUCCGGAUUUACUGGGUGUAAAGGGAGCGUAGACGGAGGAGCAAGUCUGAUGUGAAAAUCCGGGGCCCAACCCCGGAACUGCAUUGGAAACUGUUUAUCUAGAGUGUCGGAGAGGCA
rnacentral:rRNA from 1 species